CUUAUUCUCACCUCAACAAGGUGUUAUGGUCUUAGGCUCGUAGCAUAUCUUUCAUUGCUGUGUUCUGGAUUGCUGCGUUUUGUUGGUUGGUUAGUUGUGUGUGUGUGUGUGUGUGUGUUUGUUGGCGGUAAUAUGAUAAGAGUAGAUAACGAUGGUAGCGUAGCAUAGUGUGAAAGCGAAUUGCCUCUCCUUUCGGCUGCAAGGGCUGAGAUCUUAAGAUCGAUUUCUUGACGGCUUUGUUCUGGAGGCAUACAUCCAUACUCUGACCAAAGUCUCUGAGGGACUCAUCUUUAUCCAGAUUGUACUUUCCUCCUCUUCUGGAUUUCCCAUUUUGGUUACAUUUCCUGUUCUGUCCGUGCUUUGGAUAGAUUCAUGUCGAGAACCGAAAUAGAUUAGAUUAGAUGAUAUAUAGAGUUGCUAGUUGUACUUUUUGUGCUGGUUUGCUGGCCCUCAAUCUCGAUUUGGAUGAACAGUUUUAUCUUAAGUCUUUGUGAAUUUGAUUUUGGGAUAGGUUAUUGCUCUGAUGUUGGUAGCAACCAGGGAUUAAUCAUUAGAUUUAGCGAUCUCCAUUUUGUCUGUUUUUAACAUGUUAAUGCAAAGUAUCAAUUAAAAAUAUAAAAAAUAGAUUAUAUAAAUACUUUUAUUAACAAACUAUCCUUAUAUGUAAUUAAAGGAUUAUCGCAUCACACACACACACUAUACACAACCCAUCUCUUUAUAUAUGUGCUUCCGGGUUUCCAUCUAUCUGAAAUUGAGUGGAAGGAAUGAAGCCAUGCAACAAACCCACUUGCUACCAUAUUAACCUCACGUUGGCCAACAAUUUCUUCUUUGGUCCAAUGAAAUGGAACGGUUGGGAAUGAAAUGUGAAGAUGAUUACUAUGAACAAGGCAUCGCAUAAAAAGGUUUUAUGGGCACAGUUGGAAUUUGAUGUGCCCGUGUGCUCACCAUCCUCCCAAAAUCAGUCCAUUCAAAGCACCCAAAGAAUGUCUUGAAGAGGAAUGAUGACGGAUUUCAAGAUCGGGAUUGUGGGUUCAGACCGAACGAGAAACAUGUAGGUGUUAGUGGUGUCGUGGGUUCAGUUUCAAGAAAGUCGAUGUCGGGUUCGUGGGUUCAGAUCUGGAUUAGGGAAGAACGAUUUCAAGAACAACAUGUGGGAGCUCAUGGUUCUGGUUCAGAGGGUGGCUUGGAGAUCCAGAACGAACCAUUUUUGAUUUUGAAGGAGAAGAGGACGAAGUGUCGACGAUGAGAAAGGAAGGUGGUGGUGGGGCAUCGGAGAAGAGGUUCGCCGGUGAGGGUUGUGACAAUGUGAGGGAAGGUUGUCGGAGAUGAGGAGACCAACCAAGAUGAGGCGGGUUAAUGAGUAAUGGAUAUAUUCUAAAUAUGUACUCAUCCUAGAUAUUUAAUAUUUUUAGAUUUUUUUUUAUUUUAUCUUUGUAUGACUAAUCCUCCUUUCUUGUGCAACAUGAGAAUCUUUCAUUUCCUGAUUCCAUUGGCAGCUUUAUAUCAUUUUAACUCUUUUACAUGA